CCUUUUUCAGGCUCAGCACCAUAUGACAUGGCUUUCUCCUCGCGCAAUCUAGCUAAUGAAGCUUCUUUCUCAGCAGCUUCACGAGCCUCUUCUUCCUCCUUCAACUUCCUCUCAGCUUCAGCAGCUUACCUUUCCAGCCUUUCUUGCUCUUCCUUCCUAAGACAUUCCCUGGCCUGAUAUGGCAGGAUACAUUGACAGCAAAAAAACAAUAAAAACUCAACACAUUCCUAUAAAACGUAAAGUUGUGAUACGGAGCAGAGGAAGCAUAUUAUCUGACCAAACGACAAAAGCAUAUUAACAAAAUUAAUAACAUAUUACAAGUGAGAUUAUAAAAUAGAAAAAUGAGAUAUAUGAACAAGUAUAUAUGUUAACUUACAUUACCAUUUGCCACUCUUUCUUUUUCUUCAAGUUCCUCUGCCUUGUUUCCUCAAGAAGAGCUCCUUGGCUUGAGCUUCUACAGGCUGUUUGAGUAAACUUAAAUCAAGUAAACAACUCUACGAAUUCUGAUCAAAUAAGGGAAAUCAAUUCUAAACAAACUUAACUUGAGGUAAACCUAAUAUGUAUCACCCAACAGCUAGGGAAUUAUAUCUCAAUUCAAUACAUUGCUUAUAAACUCUCAAUCCACAUAAAUAUGGCCUAGGGCAUCAACAUUCCUUGUAAACUCUUACCAACAUGUCCUGAUAGGAUGUGUAAAAUAUUACAACUGCCGAAAUACUAGUAGAAAUAUCUAUUUGGCGAAUGAUGGUGAUAUUUCUUUUGGUAAUCUGAUUCGGGGACAAACUGGUGCGAUAACAAAGAACUCUGCAGACGCCAUCCUUCAGGCUCCUUUAGGUACUGUUUUGAGUGUAUGUAAUCCUGGAUACUCAUGACCAACUUGGUCAGCCUUGGAUCUUCCCGUUGACCAAGUGCAUUAAGAAAGUUGCGAGAAAUGAUAUUCAACAACUUCUUAAACUGUGAUCUAUAUAUACCAAUUUUUCUUCUUGAACCAAAAUUAUAAAAAAUAUAAAAGAAUGUGUCAGCCAUAACAAUUGUCAAUAGUUACGACUGAUCAAUCCGAGACAUGAGCAAAGGUAAAAGAAUAUGUUGGCCUUAACAAUGGUUAUUAGUUGAAGAGUUGAGCUCGAACAGUAAAGAAUGAUGGAUAAUUACCAUGCUCAGACAUGCUGACCUGCACCAGGGAAAUAUUAACUACCCAUGUGCCACAGUGUUGUUAAGCAAGUGACUAUUUUCCAGAAACAACAAAAGGAAAAUGCAGCCAAGCUUACCUGAAGAACAGUCGAUAUCCAGUAAAACCAAAUAAAAAGGACAAUGUAUACCUUUUCAUUGUUCCCAUAGUUGAUAUACCUAUGUAAUUAUUUUGAGCAUGCUCUUGAUCUUAGAAAUUAAAUACGAUUCUCAUAAACAAAAGGACUUGUUUCUCAAGAGAAUCUAACAAAGACUUGUAUACACUAGAAACCAUCUUUAUUCACAACUAUGUUUAAGGUAGCCUGGAGCUUCUCUCAAGAAAAUAAUGAGUUAGCAGCACCCAAAAAACUGCAUUAUUGCUAAAAAUAUUAAAACAAGCUAUUCAUAAGAAGAAAAUAAAUAACGGAAAAGCUUGGAAAAGGUAAAGAACUAAAGAUUGCAGAGAAGAUCAAAUUUUUUUUAUGAUUCUUUCUUUUUCACUCCUUUUAUGUUAUAUAUGAAAAUAAAAAAUUAAUGAAACAUGAACGUGGGAGGGAGACAGACAUAUAAACAUUAGAAGUACCCUACUACCCUUUAAAAACUCAACUUUUGUUCAUUUUGUUUCUUUUGACAAAUUAUAGAGGGAAAAAGAAAGCGGGAAAUGAAGUAAUAUAUUUUUGGGUGAUUAAUAUUUACUAAAAUGGGUGUUUGACUGCCAAAAAGUGCAGAAUCUUCCCAUAGUGAACAUCAAAGAAUGUGUUAAAUAUAAUUUAAGAAUGAAAACUAUUAUUUCCACAUGUUAAAAUGAUAUUUCCAUAUGAGUCUCUCAUAUAGAGGUGGGACACACUCACUAUUAAUGUGAGAGGGAUCAUGUGGAAAUAUCAAUUUUUUUAUGUGGAAAUAUUUGUUCCCUUUAAGAAUUAAGACACAUAUAAAGGUCCUUUUUUGGGAAGUGAUGCUACUAGUACUAAUGAAGAAGGGCAGAGCAUGGGGAAGUGUGGUCGGUGCCAAAUAACACGAGGGAGGGACACAAAAUAAUAUAUUGGUGAAUAAAGAAAGGCCUUGAGCGCCAAUUUAAAAUUUGAAAUUUUGGGUAAACUUAUAUACUCCUAUCCCUUUACACAUCUCCCUUUAAUUUUGAAAUUUUGAAUAAAUUUACCGUAUCUUAAUUUUUUUACAGUUCCGUUAUUUUCAUUGCAAUUUCGUUACUUUUCUUACAACUCCGUCACAUAAUGCACAUUAAAACAGAUUCAUAAGAAUUUCAUAUAAAAAUGAAAAUUUGCAUGUAACUCAUAACAAUAAGUUCUGAAAAACUUGCCUUAAAUGUCCUGUAUAACUUCACGCUAAUGCGCCCUUCCAACGUCUUGAAUAGCUUGCUCAAAAGCACAAAACAUCCCAAGUAAUUCUUGAACUUGUUUUAUUGAAUAGGGGAUGUUGACUCAUGUCAAUUAAAUAGAUUACAGGAAGGCAAGAGUCUAUUAUUAUCUUUCAUGAUGAAUCUCAGAACACUUAUCAAGUAUAGUCUAGCCGAACUCGAAUAACAUAAGUUGUCAAUAUAAAUUCACGAAACAAAAGAAACUUCAAUAAUAUUUAGAUAAUGAAUUCAUAAGGGAAUUAUAAAUUCAAGAUACAAAUUAUUCAUUUCAAGCUUCAAAAGAAACUUUGAUCCAAGAUUUCUACUCAAAGAAGAAAGUUAGUAUAUUGCAAUAAGGCUUGUCAUUGAAUAAAGUUUUUCAACGAGAUGUUAAUUAUGGAGGAAAGUUGAAAUACUUGCCUUCGUGGUGCAAAACUAUUGAUUCUACGCGAUUACGUGAAUCCGAAAUAUUAUGUUCUUGAAAACCACCUAUUUUACACACAUAAGGUCAUUACUAGAUAUAAUACAACCACUAUAUUUCACAAAUUCCUUUUAAACUUGUGUUUUUUUUGUCAUAUUUAAACAACUCACUUUAAUUACUAUAUUUCUUAAAUUUAUUCCUAAUAUUAUAUAUUAAUUACAAUUAAUAUAUCAACUUUUAUGCAUUUAUCAAUUUGCUUCCACCUUACAUGAACUAACUGUCAAGAUGACUACAACAGAAGCAAAACAGUCAACAAGCAGGCCAGGCCAGGCCGCGCUGCAGCAGCUACCCAGCACUGCCCUGCAACCGAGCCUCAACAGCUCUCCUUUGCUAAUUUUUAUCGUACAACUCACAUCAUUAAAUGCAACCAAACCUUUAACAGGUUAUAAUAGGCAUGAUGUAGUAUUUUUAUAAAUUGUAACUCAGCUGAAAUGGACACUCUAAGACAGGCAAAUCAGGUGCCAAAGCUGCCCAGUUGAGACUGUUCAGCGCAGCGCACGGCUGCUGCUGUUGCUGCUACUACUGCUCCAAUGCCAAGUUGCUAGUUUUGUUAUUUUAUAAUUCACAAACCAUAUAUCCAAUCAAAGUCAAUUUCUAAUAUGCUAUAACUGGUAUAGCAAGCUAUUUUUAGAAAAAAUAAAAUAGCUAAAAUGAUCAGUUUAGAUGGAUUUUAGGGAGCUCUGAAACAGCUCUGCCGAAACAGUUUCGAAGCUAUGAACCAAUAUGAUUUUUACUUUAAAACAGACUUCCAGCCACACUUAGCUUAUGCAAAACAUUCCAUGUAUACUCUAUAACAUAUAUGAAGGAUACCUUACUCACUACCGUACCUCAAUUGCUCAUUUUGGUCUUAACAGUUCUAUGAAGCAUACAAUCAAACAUGUCAUAGGCACAAGCUUUAUGGACAGACUUCAUAAACCUUUGCACAUGUUUUAAACCACAUUCUCCUCCCUUAUUUCUCCUCAUAACAACAACUAAACUCCAUCUAACAUACAACCCAAUUAGCACAGUUAUAAUACUCUAAAUUUUAUAUAAAACAAUUAAUUUUUGCUUCAAAAAUCAAGAUUUUAAAACUUACCUUGCGUUAACAGUUUAAUAACCUGAAUUGACACUUCUGAUUCAGUUAGAACCCUUUCUUUUUGCUGCCCUGCUAUCCAAAUUAUCCAGCUCAGUUUACAUUUAAACUAUCUUGCUCCAUUCCUUGCUCAAUUUGCUAGUUUAGUCAACAAAGAAGAGAAGUUUUGAUAGAAUUUUGGGGUGCAGAAAUUCGGUUAUCAAGAGGGAGAAGAAAUAGAUUAAAGAUGAUAGGAGAACACUUGUGCUUGGUAAGUUCAGAGGAUUUAUGAUGCAGUGAACGGAACAGAUUUUUUUUUAAUCUCAAUCAUUGCUUAAUGCACUGUUAGUACAUUACUUUCUUGCCAACUCAUGCUUUAUAUUGGCUUAGUAGCUUAGUUAUUCUCCCUAAGAACGACGGCAAAACCUUAAUAAGUAGUAGGAUACCGCGAACAAGGAGCAAAACUUUUAGUCAUACUCUAAGUAAAUUCUCUUUAAGAUAAUAAAAUAUUUCUAGUCAGAUUGUGUUAUAAGAGGUUAAAUUCCAAUUUAUCCUUCAUGAAGUGAUAGAUUAUCACUUUUAUUGUCAGAUCAUACCCUCAUGAAGUGGAUAACAUCACAACAAGACUUGAAUCAUGUCUCAGUAUCCUAAUGGCACCCUUGAUAUCAAGUUAACGCAUUACUCUGCAAAGUGCUUCGAGCUCACACGCAACAUAAAACAAGAAUCGCGUUAUGGCUAGAGGUCUUUAAUGCUAUUAGUUAAUCAUGUGGUGUUCAUGUUGAUUCAUAUUUAUCUGAUCAUGUCGUGUUUGAUAUGAACCAACGUUACAUGACACGAUUGACAACCAUACUAACAGCCUCAAUAUUAAUGAUAGGAAAAUAUUGGAAGAAAACAGAGCGCAGACUUUAUACCAAGAGCAUGACCCUGAACUUAACUGAGUAAGAUAGUGAUCCAAUAGCAGGACAACAGGAGCACAAGUUUUGAAACAUGGUUGAUUGAAAAUGUUUUCAGGUGAUAAUGUAAGACGACCGUCAAGACUAAAGCUACAAAGUGUCCAGGGAAAAGGUGACAAGCAACGUGGAGCUAAUUUCAGUCUCCAGGCAGAAGCUGAAGACUGUUAAUAUCUUGGGCAGACAACGGUCAAAGCGAGCCCUUUCUUAAUUCUUUAA
rnacentral:lncRNA from 1 species